CGCCGACGCCGACUCCCUUCCAGAUCUGCUGCCGAUUUCCGAAAGUGACAAAUUUUUGGAGCGUGGGCUGUCACCGUCGGCGACGGAGUGCCGAAUCUCAAUCGCCGGAAUUCCGGCAGAAUCUUAUUUUGGAGAUAAGUUUCUUGACUUGUUUUUACUAUGGUUGUAGGACUUGGGUUGGCUAUCCUAUGGAUUUGGUGACUCUUGAAUAAUGUGUUGCUACUUGGAAGACUCAUGGUGUAAUAAGUUAAUUUCACUGUGUUGUUAGAAUUGGGCAGAUUCCUAUUGCCAACUAGAAUAUGCAUGCUUCGUUCAUGAAUGUAAAGGAAAGCAAGGGUUUGGGAUUCACCUUUUUGAUGUGGAAAGUAAAGUGUGGGGCUGUAGUGUUUGAGUCUACAAUUGUGUGCAAUCUCCCUCCUCGGACGACUCCUCUUUCCUUCGUAGGGGUGGUGACUCCUCUUUCCUUUGUGGGGUGGUGUGUGCAGAGAAAUUUGGAUGUGUGAUGGUGACGUGGGUGAGUGGGAAAGGAAUGAUUGUAUAUCUAUAUACAAUACGCAAAAGACGGCAGUGAAAUUGAUCGGUGUAAGCAAGUUGUCUGAUAUUUUUAUCCAAACAUUCUUCUAGCAUAGAAAAGUAAAGAUUACUCUGACAUCUCAUUUAAUGCAGUAUUAAUUGCUGCUGAAAAUUUGAUCCUCAGGAUCGGAUAUGCUUAUCCCUCUCUUUUAUAUUUUAUUUGUUUUAUUAAAUUUUAUUAUUUGUAUAUUUAUUUACUUAUUUGUUUAAUUUGGUGUAGGAAAAACCAGUUUAAGCUUGUGGCUUUGGUGUAGGAAAACAAAUAACAUCCAUAGUCUUCCCUGAUGAUGUACCGGACUUUCUUGGAGUACGAGCACGACCGUUGAACGGGCUGCGUGAACUUUUCCCUAAUGGUAAUAGAUGAGGAUUUGAUAAAUUUAUAUAAUAGUAAUUUAGCGGACUUCGUAGAUAUGCCGAACAGUAUAAAUUUUUAUUUGAUGUUACUUUUUUUUAGUUGUACUUGAAAUAUUCGUUCAAGAACGAAACAACGAUUAUUUAUAAUUCCAAGAUCUA